rnacentral:rRNA from 1 species
CCUACGGGAGGCAGCAGUCGAGAAUCAUUCACAAUGGGGGAAACCCUGAUGGUGCGACGCCGCGUGGGGGAAUGAAGGUCUUCGGAUUGUAAACCCCUGUCAUGUGGGAGCAAAUUAAAAAGAUAGUACCACAAGAGGAAGAGACGGCUAACUCUGUGCCAGCAGCCGCGGUAAUACAGAGGUCUCAAGCGUUGUUCGGAAUCACUGGGCGUAAAGCGUGCGUAGCCUGUAUGGUAAGUCGUAUGUGAAAGGUGGAGGCUCAACCCGCAGACGGCACAUGAUACUGCGAGACUAGAGUACUGGAGGGGGAGCCGGAAUUCUCGGUGUAGCAGUGAAAUGCGUAGAUAUCGGGAGGAACACUCGUGGCGAAGGCGGGUUCCUGGACAUUAACUGACGGUGAGGCACGAAGGCCAGGGGAGCGAAAGGGAUUAGAUACCCUUGUAGUC